AACGAACGCUGGCGGCAGGCUUAACACAUGCAAGUCGAACGAGAUCUUCGGAUCUAGUGGCAGACGGGUGAGGAACACGUGGGAACAUCCCUUUCAGUUCGGAAUAACGUUGGGAAACUAACGCUAAUACCGGAUACGUCCUUCGGGAGAAAGAUUUGUCGCUGAAAGAUUGGCCCGCGUCUGAUUAGCUAGUUGGUGAGGUAAUGGCUCACCAAGGCUACGAUCAGUAGCUGAUCUGAGAGGAUGAUCAGCCACAUUGGGACUGAGACACGGCCCAACCUCCUACGGGAGGCAGCAGUGGGGAACAUUGGACAAUGGGCGCAAGCCUGAUCCAGCCAUGCCGCGUGAGUGAUGACGGCCUUCGGGUUGUAAAGCUCUUUUGUCCGGGAAGAUAAUGACUGUACCGGAGGAAUAAGCCCCGGCAAACUUCAUGCCAGCCGCCGCAGUAAAAC
rnacentral:rRNA from 1 species